GGAUUGUGGCUCAGUGGUGGAGCACUUGCCUAGCAAGUGUGAGGAACUGGGUUCGAUUCUCAGCACCA
rnacentral:tRNA from 1 species